rnacentral:rRNA from 1 species
GAUGAACGCUAGCGGCAGGCCUAAUACAUGCAAGUCGGACGGGAUUGAGGAGCUUGCUCCUCGUGAGAGUGGCGCACGGGUGCGUAACACGUAUGUAACCUACCUUAAUCAGGGGGAUAGCCUCUCGAAAGAGAGAUUAACACCGCAUAAAAUCACACUAUGGCAUCACAGAAUGAUCAAAUAUUUAUAGGAUUAAGAUGGGCAUGCGCAACAUUAGCUAGUUGGUAAGGUAACGGCUUACCAAGGCUACGAUGUUUAGGGGAUCUGAGAGGAUGGCCCCCCACACUGGUAAUGAGACACGGACCAGACUCCUACGGGAGGCAGCAGUAAGGAAUAUUGGUCAAUGGGCGGAAGCCUGAACCAGCCAUGCCGCGUGCAGGAAGACGGCCCUACGGGUUGUAAACUGCUUUUAUACGGGAAUAAACCUACUUACGUGUAAGUAGCUGAAUGUACUGUAAGAAUAAGGAUCGGCUAACUCCGUGCCAGCAGCCGCCGUAAGAC